rnacentral:tRNA from 2 species
AUUUAAAUAGCUUAUAAUUUAGAGCGCAACACUGAAGAUGUUGAUGAGGUAAUUAGUUACCUUUGAAUA